rnacentral:misc_RNA from 1 species
UACGUUUAAUGGUAGUUGUGAAGGUAGAGACAGUUGAAUCAUUAGAAAAGAGAUCAAAGGAAAGCUGGUAAUUGGAACUGUUAAUAUCAGCAAAACCAUAAUAAAGGUGGGAAAAAAGAGCAGAAUUUACGCUGGGAACAGGAAGCUGAGAAGCACAAUCAUAAUAGGCAGCUUUGAUCCAGGCUUGUGCCCGCAGAUUGAGAGUGAUGAGGAAGAUUAAGAGGACAAAGAUUUUGGCCGUCAUCAAAGAAGAAAGAAGAUAGUUUAUG